rnacentral:rRNA from 1 species
UACGUAGGGGGCUAGCGUUGUCCGGAAUCAUUGGGCGUAAAGAGCGUGUAGGCGGCCCGGUAAGUCCGCUGUGAAAGUCGGGGGCUCAACCCUCGAAUGCCGGUGGAUACUGUCGGGCUAGAGUGCGGAAGAGGCGAGUGGAAUUCCUGGUGUAGCGGUGAAAUGCGUAGAUAUCGUAAGGAAGACCAGUGGCGAAGGCGGGUCUCUGGACAGUUCCUGACGCUGAGGCACGAAGGUCAGGGGAGCAAACGGG